UUCUUCCUAGAAUAUUUUCCUUCUUGGAUAUAGUAACUUUGUGCCGAUGUGCCCAGAUUUCCAAGGCUUGGAACAUCUUAGCCCUGGAUGGAAGCAACUGGCAAAGAAUAGACCUUUUUAACUUU